rnacentral:rRNA from 1 species
UACGAAGGGGGCUAGCGUUGUUCGGAAUCACUGGGCGUAAAGGGCGCGUAGGCGGCUUUGUAAGUCGGGGGUGAAAGCCUGUGGCUCAACCACAGAAUUGCCUUCGAUACUGCAUGGCUUGAGACCGGAAGAGGUUAGUGGAACUGCGAGUGUAGAGGUGAAAUUCGUAGAUAUUCGCAAGAACACCAGUGGCGAAGGCGGCUUACUGGUCCGGUUCUGACGCUGAGGCGGCGAAAAGCGUGGGGAGCAAACAGG